AUUGAACGCUGGCGGCAGGCCUAACACAUGCAAGUCGAACGGUAACAGGAAGAAGCUUGCUUCUUUGCUGACGAGUGGCGGACGGGUGAGUAAUGUCUGGGAAACUGCCUGAUGGAGGGGGAUAACUACUGGAAACGGUAGCUAAUACCGCAUAACGUCGCAAGACCAAAGAGGGGGACCUUCGGGCCUCUUGCCAUCGGAUGUGCCCAGAUGGGAUUAGCUAGUAGGUGGGGUAACGGCUCACCUAGGCGACGAUCCCUAGCUGGUCUGAGAGGAUGACCAGCCACACUGGAACUGAGACACGGUCCAGACUCCUACGGGAGGCAGCAGUGGGGAAUAUUGCACAAUGGGCGCAAGCCUGAUGCAGCCAUGCCGCGUGUAUGAAGAAGGCCUUCGGGUUGUAAAGUACUUUCAGCGGGGAGGAAGGGAGUAAAGUUAAUACCUUUGCUCAUUGACGUUACCCGCAGAAGAAGCACGGGCUAACUCCGUG
rnacentral:rRNA from 1 species